GAGCCAAGAACACAAGGUACAAGUGGAGCCCAAGAGUGACCAGGCUACCCUACAGGUUCCCGUCAUCUCUCUAUCUAGGCAGGCACUGAUGCCAGCACACAGUCAACCAGCCAGCCAGUCAGCCAGCCAGCAGCGUCUAGUGUAUUCUCUACCUGCUUCACUCCCUUCACAGACCUAGCCAGGACAUGGUGAGGACCAAGGAGAAUAGUGAACGUGCUGGUAAAAGGGACAGCUGUCUCAUCCCUGCAAGGCCAAAUUCGGCCUGCUGUUGCCAGGAACGACACUUCCCCCCUUUUGAGAGAGUGGAAACAUCUGGUCACCCACAAAGCACAUCAUGCCAGCCAACACAAGACCAGGAAGAGAAGCAGACCAACGCUGUUGACAUCAGCUAACUACACGCCAGCCACUCUCCAGGCACGCUGGAAGGACACUUCACCGGUGACUAAGAUCACUCCACAAGACUGACGUGACACUAUCAGUGACAUUAGCUAUUAGGCUACUGUGGGACACUGGUCCGGCUGACAUCCAUUGAUAUAGUGUACCCAAACCAAGAGCAAGGAUGCUAACUCAGAAGGACUAAACCACACUUGUGUCUGUCUAAGACAUCAGAUAAAUCCCACACUCCGAGGUCUUUCUUAGGGAAUCAAAUCUGUCAAAAGGAUACAUUGUAAAACUACUACUAGUAUUGUAAGAAAUGCUGCUAUCACCGAGGGUAUAGACAUUGGUAUGACUCUCCAAAGAGGAGGAGAUCGAAAACUUUCACUCAUAGCAUAGAUCUGAUACCUCGGACAACAAAAAGUGAGGUGCCAGGCAGAAAAUGCUACACAGGCAGGUUUAAUGGACAGAUGAUCCUGAUGUGACUCUGGAAAAAAGGUAUGAGAGAUCAGCCAAAAUGCACUCUGAAACCUGUCAUCAGGAACCUAAGUUAUUGAAAAAGAUCAUUUACAACCAUGCAAAGAUGAUGUUCCUGCCAAUAACUAGGUGGACGUGACAUGCCAACCACCAUGGGUGUACUUGAGUGUUAAUACCAUUGUUAACCAUUAGUCCUGAAAUCCUGUCUUUUGGGGUAAUAUCUUUAUGGGAACGGUUUCUUGCUCUCUACCAAUAGUCCCAGAAUUCAGGCAGGCCACUGGAUUCGGGGUCUAUUGGCUUCCCAUCCAAAUACUGGAAGACGUUCUGGUAUUUGAAAGUAAAGCCUCAGUGGUCAUCUGAGUGCGCUAGGUUGGACAAUUUCUGUGGACGCGCAGUUAUUGACUCUCCUAGGUGGAACGAGUUAUCACACACAUACAUGGAGCAAGGGCAAAGUAUGAUCUAAGUUUUCCUUUUUUGGAGUAGGUAUUGAAA
rnacentral:lncRNA from 1 species